AAUUGGAGAAGCUCCCAAGAGAGUGUCAAUCCCCCUGUACUUGCAAGAUUUACAGUAAACAACUCCUCUUACACCAACAAACUUCCUGGUUGGAAGAGGAGAUGGUGGUUUAACUGGUGGAUGAGCAGGCGGAGUUGGUGGUUUACUAGGCGAAUGAGCAGGUGGAGUUGGUGGUUUAACAGGCGGAGACGGUGGUUUGACUGGUGGUGAAGAGUGAGAGGGAGAAGAAGCUGGGGCUUGGCCGUGCUUGUGGUGGUGGUGGUGGUGGUGUUGGCCGCCAUUAUGAGGCUUAGGGGUUUCAACGGGUGGGAAGCUAACAAGGGAAU
rnacentral:lncRNA from 1 species